AGAGUUUGAUCCUGGCUCAGAUUGAACGCUGGCGGCAGGCCUAACACAUGCAAGCCGAACGGUAACAGAACUAGCUUGCUAGUUGCUGACGAGUGGCGGACGGGUGAGUAAUACUUAGGGAUCUGCCUCUGUGUGGGGGAUAACUAUUGGAAACGAUAGCUAAUACCGCAUAAUGUCUACGGACCAAAGAGGGCUUCGGCUCUCGCGCAGAGAGGAACCUAAGCGAGAUUAGCUAGUUGGUGAGGUAAAGGCUCACCAAGGCGACGAUCUCUAGCUGUUCUGAGAGGAAGAUCAGCCACACUGGAACUGAGACACGGUCCAGACUCCUACGGGAGGCAGCAGUGGGGAAUAUUGCACAAUGGGGGAAACCCUGAUGCAGCCAUGCCGCGUGUGUGAAGAAGGCCUUCGGGUUGUAAAGCACUUUCAGUUGUGAGGAAAGGUUAGUAGUUAAUACCUGCUAGCUGUGACGUUAACAACAGAAGAAGCACCGGCUAACUCCGUGCCAGCAGCCGCGGUAAUACGGAGGGUGCGAGCGUUAAUCGGAAUUACUGGGCGUAAAGCGCACGCAGGCGGUCUGUUAAGCUAGAUGUGAAAGCCCCGCGCUCAACGUGGGAGGGUCAUUUAGAACUGGCAGACUAGAGUCUUGGAGAGGGGAGUGGAAUUCCAGGUGUAGCGGUGAAA
rnacentral:rRNA from 1 species